GCUGGUGUGGCUCAACGGUAGAGCAGACUGACUUGUAAUCAGCAGGUUGUAGGUUCGAUUCCUAUCACCAGCUCCA
rnacentral:tRNA from 1 species